AUACGUAGGGAGCAAGCGUUAUCCGGAUUUACUGGGUGUAAAGGGCGUGUAGGCGGGAGUGCAAGUCAGAUGUGAAAACUAUGGGCUCAACCCAUAGCCUGCAUUUGAAACUGUACUUCUUGAGUACUGGAGAGGCAGGGCGAAUUCCGUGUGUAGCGGGGGAAUGCGUAGAUAUACGGAGGAACACCAGUGGCGAAGGCGGCCUGCUGGACAGCAACUGACGCUGAGGCGCGAAAGCGUGGGGAGCAAACAGGAUUAGAUACCCUGGUAGUCCACGCUGUAAACGAUGGAUACUAGGUGUGGGGGGACUGACCCCCUCCGUGCCGCAGUUAACACAAUAAGUAUCCCACCUGGGGAGUACGAUCGCAAGGUUGAAACUCAAAUGAAUUGGCGGGG
rnacentral:rRNA from 1 species